UGGGGAAUAUUGGACAAUGGGCGCAAGCCUGAUCCAGCCAUGCCGCGUGUGUGAAGAAGGCCUUUUGGUUGUAAAGCACUUUAAGCGAGGAGGAGGCUACUCUAGUUAAUACUUAGGGAUAGUGGACGUUACUCGCAGAAUAAGCACCGGCUACUC
rnacentral:rRNA from 1 species